ensembl:lncRNA
CCGGAUUUAGUCAAAACAAACGCAGCAGUCGUGUUACCGCUCUCGCUGUGAGGGUCUGAGCGAUUUGGGAUAUUAAGAAGUGUGUUAAUAUAAUUACUGCAAUCCUCAGACAAGCAGACCUCCCCCAUCCAACGAAGAGCUGAAGGAACCGUGGAGGACGGAUUACUCUGUCGGGGACUGAACUCCGCAGUAAAGCCGUCGACAUUUGAGAGCCCAUACAUCAGCGCGGUAAAGAGCGAGCAGCAGGGAUGCGACGCUGCAGCCCAGCAGAGGAGCGAAAACACCACCUGAACUACAAACGAUGAAGUAUGAUCCUCCACAACGAUCCCAGCCCCCACAGACGUGGAGGAGUUCAGGGGAACACAAACUGGUAUACUCGAAUAUAAGAUUGUGAACCAACGCGCCCAUUUGGCAACUACAGAGAAAUCACCGCAGCUCAAUAUCUGCACUGGGAUGUGGAGGACGAAACUGAGAGGAGGAGAAACGGUACAAGACCCUGGACACGAGAAUGGUGGUGUACCAGGAAGUGACUUAACAGAAAGGUGUGCGCAAAGGACAACACAAAUGUGUCGUUCAUCCACCCACAUGUUCCACGCUCGCAAUGAAAAAAGAAAGAGAAGCAGAAAUUUGAUUAAUUUGCUUUAGUCAAACACCAGAGGGUCGGUGACGUUUUACAGGAAAAGCCAUUUAAUAUUGAAGCCAAUGCUCCACUCGAUAAGAAAUGUCCUCAUGCGUAGGCUGAAUACACAUUACGGCUUAAACCACAGAUGCUUCCAUGUAUGUUUUUUCAUGUAUUGCUACUCGAACGAUUUAAAUGUCUCUUUACAUCUUGUUUUGUGAAAAUCUAAGUAAAUAACUGACAUGCUAAAGGUUUUAAGUGAUGAAUCCAGAGGUAUUUAAAACACAAAACGCCUUCACGAUGAUGCUUUUAUUGCAGAGGGCCGCUGCUUGAAACUCUCUAAACACUACUGUUCAUUUACUUCACUCUCUAUACAGCCUGAAGAGCCUACUUGAUAAAGUGUGAGUUAGCAGAUGCUUUCUAUUCCCCACUUAUCUGGGAUUAUUCAUGGAUGCGUCUCCCUCAAGCGAUAGAGAGGAACCUCAGGAGCUUGACUAAGGCCACCAGCGCUGACCCGAGCGCUGCCAUCACAGCAAAGAAGGAGCAGGAUGAAGUGCUUUACCGUUUAUGAAGACGUGUCUAAAUGAUAAAAAGGGAUUAUUACUGUCCAGUUCUUAACUUGGGUGUCAUUAAUUGAAAAGAUUAAACGUGUGAUACAGGAGCUAGAUCACAUAGUGAACACAACACACAAAUCAAUGAAUAGAAUUGAGCAAUUGGCUCAUAUUAAAAGUGCACGCCAGUAUUAGGGAAUCUCUACUUAUUAGAUUAGGAAUGAUGAUCCAAUUACAUUGUGGGAUAUGGG